AACAUUUUAUUUUUGGCCCACCUAGAAUGAGGAAUUUACUAGAUUUAGGAUAACUUUAAGCAAGAGUAAGCAGUGACAUAGAAAUGUAGAAAAUUGUCUAAUUUUGAUCUCGUCUGUACAUAAGAUUACUUCACUGACCACAUACUGAAAGCAUUCACGCUCCCAAAGCACCAGAGGCAUUUUUUCUGCACCACCGAUCAAAACACAGCAUUUCACUCUUGAAAAUGCAUGCAGAUGGCACCUUGUGCACAGACGCAAAUGUUUUGGGCACAGACAUCUUUGGUACUGAAUAUCUAAAGCAUCAGACGCAUUAAUUGUUUAAUAGUCCAGAUGAGCAGUAGACUGAUAACUCAAGCCUUAAGUUUUAGUGCAGAAAAAGGACAGAUGCCAGCUUAAACCGUCACUGAAUCAACAGAAUCAAGAGUUAAUGUGUAUUACAGCUCAUUUAGUCUGUGACUCACUGCGUUUGUGUGCAGAGGAGGGUCUUCGUGGCCCACCAUGGGGGUCAGAUCUUUAUAGAGAACACCAUUGAGAAUGCAAAGCGAGCUGUUUUGUUCCAGCACCUGGAUGAUUGCAUGCUACAGAUAUCUCUGUGUGUGUGUGUGCGUGGUUGUGUGUAUGAGCAUGUGAGUAUGUGUGUGUGUGCAGCUGUGCCGCUUCGCUCACCUUACGAUCUCAAGAAAAUGAGCUGGAGCAGCUGGCAUAAAGAAAUGACGGAUGCUGAGGUUGAGCUUUAAAAGAAGCCUUUCUUUUUUUCUUUUUCUGUGUUCUUAAAAUCCACACCGGCUCUGAUGUAAUCAGUCGCAUCCUAAUUAAUUGGUGAAUUCAAAUUACCUCAUUAUCGCCUCUGCAGGUGACAGAGUGUGUCUAACGCAAUAACUGUGCAUCAGUGAAAUACACAGCUUUUACUGAAGUUAUUUCGUUAGACACACUU